rnacentral:rRNA from 1 species
GAUGAACGCUGGCGGCGUGCCUAAUACAUGCAAGUCGAGCGAACGGACGAGAAGCUUGCUUCUCUGAUGUUAGCGGCGGACGGGUGAGUAACACGUGGAUAACCUACCUAUAAGACUGGGAUAACUUCGGGAAACCGUAGCUAAUACCGGAUAAUAUUUUGAACCGCAUGGUCCAAUAGUGAAAGACGGUCUUGCUGUCACUUAUAGAUGGAUCCGCGCUGCAUUAGCUAGUUGGUAAGGUAACGGCUUACCAAGGCAACGAUGCAUAGCCGACCUGAGAGGGUGAUCGGCCACACUGGAACUGAGACACGGUCCAGACUCCUACGGGAGGCAGCAGUAGGGAAUCUUCCGCAAAGGGCGAAAGCCUGACGGAGCAACGCCGCGUGAGUGAUGAAGGUCUUCGGAUCGUAAAACUCUGUUAUUAGGGAAGAACAUAUGUGUAAGUAACUGUGCACAUCUUGACGGUACCUAAUCAGAAAGCCACGGCUAACUACGUG